rnacentral:lncRNA from 1 species
UCGAGAACAACUUAGCCGCUGCCGCCGAGCACGCUCUUGAGCUUCUUCACCGUCGCGUCGUCCAAGAAGGUGACCUUCUCCACGACGGCCGACGGGAGGUUGUUGGCGAAGAGCGCGAAGUCGGUGAUCUGCAGGCCGGGGUUAGGGCUGCUAAAGGCAACGAGCGCCACCGCGGGGCCAGAGCCGGCGUUGUACUGGUAGUGGAGCAAGCCCUGGGGGAACACCAUGAUGUCGCCCGCGUUCAGCGUCUUGGUGUAGGGGGUGUUCGACCCGGAGCUGAUGAAGCCGGCGGCGACGGUGCCCUGGGUGACGAAGAGGAGCUCGGAGCCGGCCGGGUGGGUGUGCAGCGGCACGACGCCGCCCACCUCCAUGUCGAGCCUGGCCGCGGAGAUGCCGAGGCCGUUGACGCCCGGGAACUGGCCGACGAAGGCCGGGGUCACGGCGGCCUUGAUGAGGGGGUUGAUUUUGCCCAUGCCAGCCAGGCCGUGGUAGUAGAAGUCAUUAGCGCUGACGCUAGACUUGCACGGGUAGCCGGCCGGCGUGUCGCUGCAGGACAGGUCAGCGACGCAGAAGUCCUGCGUCAGCGCGAGGGAGGCGAAGGGCAGGAGGAGGAAGGAGAGGAGCACGGGGAGCAGCACCAUCUUGGCCAUGGCAACGGCUUACUACACAGCUAGCUCGAGAUAGUUUGAUGUGUGGAUAUGUGUUGCAUCCAACGCUUGAAGCAAAGGCCUCUUUAUAGAUGAAGAGAGAAGGUAUUGUGUACAUGCACGUACAGAUAACAACGUACGUUAACAGCAGUUAAAGUGGGUGAAAUUUGGAGUAGGAUGAGAGGCGUGAGGCUGGUGUUCACUUGCAUGGCCCUGUUAGGGCUUGGAGGCGAGGAGCCAGUGGACAAGUGUUGACAGCUGUACGUGGUCCAGGAAUGGGACCGGCCUUGAUGAACAAAAGGUCUCGUCUUGAUCUGCAUUGUUAGAUCGAUCGGGAUGGCCAAGGAACACGACAAGCCAUGCACUUUUUUUUACAAUGAUACGGACAUGCAGGGCUCAACCAGUCGUGUACAUCCGACUAUUACAUUACAUGUCCAUGGUUCCUUGGAACAAUUGCAGCACAAAAUGCACCCUAAUUUUUUUUUCUCAGGGUACAUCCGACUAUUACCGAUAUAAUGCAUCAAAGUAAUAAUGCUCAUGGUCUCUAUGACUCUUUUGGCAAGUAACACGGGUGCCAGAUACCACGCAUCAGCUAGGAGCCAAAUGAGCUAUCGUCCAUGUAACACGUUACACGCCGCUUUGGUUUUGCUGGCUCGUUUGAUCGAUGUCAUUCUGUACGUAUGUUGUUUGGCAUGCAUGUGACUCUGCGAGAGCAUGCCAACCAGCCACAGCUGAUCCACACAGCACUACUUUGAUGAGCAAUAAAAUCUGAAUCGUUGAAGACAAUGAUGAUAAAGAGGAUCGUUAAGUUGUCUGUAAUCAGGUCUUGGUUUGAUUUUGAGGAAGCAGCUGGUGCUAGUUAUCUUAGAUGCUGAAACUACGUACUCUCUGGUUGUUGGAGCAUCUCUUUCCUCAUCCACACCAAGAUCUUGCGUUGAUGGAACAGCUGAGGCUCAUAAAAAAUACUUCCAUUUAUGCAUACUGAUAGGACUGAAUGCAUAUAUGUUUUCAACUUUUCAUGGAUGGCAGCAUGCGAAAAUAUCUAGUGAAAACCCACCAUUUUAUGUUUCCCAGAUAUGGGUCCUCAGGUUUUAGACCUCCGCAUCGGAUUGUGUACCAAUGGUACCACAAGGGCCACCACCCAUUUUUUUAUGAAUUAAAAGACCUUGCACCUUCGACCUAUCAAAAAUGCUUCCCCUACUAUCCAAUGCGGCAAUGCCUUCCAUUUCCUGCCCUCCCUUAUAUUACUUAUCUCUCGUCGUAUUUCACUCUCUCCACAUUAGCAAAUUAUGGCUGGUUUUUCAAGACAUUGUCUAUCUCACUUGAUGGGGAAGUGAGAUAUGGGUGCACAUCAGCUGGUUGGCACCAUGGACUUUCUAAAGUUUUUCUUCUUUUUUUUAGACAUAUUGCAUCACCGAAUCGGUUGAGGAGCUCAGCUGAGUUGCAAUGUCUUCCUUUUGGGGAGUUGAUGAAGAGAGCCGUGAGAUUCUUAUGCCGCUAGGUCCAAGAGUCACUGAAGCCCAUGGAUCGACAGCUUCCACGGCGCUUUUUGCAUCCACGUCCAAAUCAUGUCGCACUGGUGCACGCAUGGCACGGAUAGACGUCCGGGAAUAUCCUCUGGUUCGCGGGCACCGGCCGGGGCCGCGCGUCCGUGCUGAGCCCCCUCUUGCGCGUGCACGGCGACAGGGCGCGUCGCCGUCUGGUCCAUCCAGACCCUCUCAUGGGGGGCGCGGGUCGGCGACCGCGCCAGGACGCAAAGAGAGAGAGCGGCCGGGGUGGUGCCCCCACACGCGCGCGACGAGCCAGCAGCGCGGGACACGGCCGUGACAGGCAGCGGAAACCCCCAGGCGCGGCGGGGGCCCGUGCGCGCCCCGGCAGCAGCUAGCACUGCAGGUCUUUCGGCAUGGGCGCGCUAGGAUCCGAGGACGAGGAGGGAGCACCCACGGAGCAGUUGCCGAUCGGCUACGGCAGACGAGUCGGAAUGAUAGCGAUGCCCCCGCGCCCCCGCGACAUGAGCACGGAGCAGAGUUGCACGCGCGUCGUCUUUGGAUUCGCGGGAGCCACGCCGUGGGUACCAUACUACCAUCUGGGUGUCGCGUGCCCGGUGCCGCCGGGAGCGUUCGCUUGGAGUCACGGACGCACGGAUCCGCUGUUCUGUUGGUGUCGAUGACGGAGGAGUUUCACGCGCCUGGAACAGCAAAAUCUCCGGUCUAGACUCACCGCAGUAUGCUGCUGCUUCACCACCCGGAAAACGGGAAAAGUUGUGUCACGAGGGCCAAUGGCCCAUGAAACGAAUGGCCCAAGUUUCUGACUUUUCACUUCUGUCUGUGUUCUGCUAUAUGUUGCCGUGUUGUGUAUGACUUGUUCAUUAGGCAAUUCGUACAACCCAUCUUGCCCCGCAGACAAAAGGUCCAUAGCCCGAUGAACACAAGGCAAAAUCUAAGUCAACAUCGACCUUAAUUAUUCAACAGUGAGCAAAAUCUAUCUCCGCAUUCAUACAACCUACUAGUCCAGCGCUUUAUACGAAAAUGUUAAACUAGUAUGAUUAAAAUAUUACAUUAGUAUACUCAAAAUGUUGAAAUGGUGCUAACUUUCGAGUACUCGAUUUGGCACUGAUGCUCGCAUUUUACUAAAUUUAUUCCAGGAGUUAACGGGCGCUAUUCUUUCAGUGGUAAGCGACGUGCCUGUCGACAGCGAGACGCCACUGGUGAUUUCGUCAAUUUCGCGGAUUUGUUGGCUCAGUCUUUCGAAUGUGCUCAUAGAGAUAGGGUUGCAUGCGUAUUUUCGUAGGGACGAGUGUGUGUGAGCGUCAAUGUCUGUGUGAUUCGCAAAAAGAAUUGUUGAAAUGGCACUUAUUCUUAAUGUGGUUUCUAUAUUUAAGAAAGAAAAUAUACUCAUAUUGGAUCUUUUUUUUGCAUUUCUAAACAAUAAGUGGUUAAAUGGAAUCAUAGUCUGAGAGGAAAAUGCAUGUCGAGUUUGAUAUUCAAGCUAAUUAAUUACCCACGCAUCUCCUCUAAUCGAAUUAUACCACAUUUUGUCCAUAUGGCUGGUUGGUCCAUAGAAGAUGGAUAGGAAUUCCUGAGUGCCUGCCUUCGACAACGUUUUGAGCAAGACCGAUGAUGGGCUCUCAUGCUUUGAGGCCGGUACGUUACUUUAUGGGCUGUAAGGCUUGACACGUACACCCACCCACCAUAAUACAAUGAUGGGCUAUGUUCGGACCAAAAACCAUCUGCGUUGGCCUAUAAACCUACAAACCUACAAGCUAGUUUUGGCCCGUAAACCUACAAGCUAGUUUUGGCCCAUAAACCUACAAGCUAGUUUUGGCCCAUAGCAAUCACAUGGGCCGAUAGUGAUUUUGUCGUCCUCACUCUUGUCACGUUCAACACCACUCACUCUCAACGCUACUCCGCAUGCUGAAAGCUGUGCCCCGGCUUGAAAAACAGAGAGAGAGAGAGAGAGAGAGAGAGAGAGAGAGAGAGAGAGAGAGAGAGAGAGAGAGAGAGAGAGAGAGAGAGAGAGAGAGAGAGAGAGAGAGCAGUUGCAUCCGUGCCCCGUGCCUCUGUGGAAAGAAGGAAAUCUCAAAGCAAGCAGCCAGGUAAGCUCGCUUUCGCCCCUAACCCAAACAGCUAGCCAAUCAACCUGGGGACUCGCGAGGAGUAUCCGACUACUAUACACUCCAAGCCCCAUGCGAUCCACGCUCAAGGGAAAAAAGCGAGCGAGCGAGCGACCAUCCCCCAGCUCGUCCCACAGAUAAAGCCGGCCGCUAUCCUCCCGGACAGCCCGCCGCCGGGGAGCGUGCAGGCCCUUUUGCAAGAUUCUGCCGUGCCCAACGGCGUUUUUUCGCUUGGGUAUCGCAUCGUAUCUCGGAGAAAUUAAAGCUACAGACGAGACCAAAACCCAAAGGGGCAGCCCGAUUCUGCCCUGACCAAUGGCAGCACCACCCCUUGUGUUGUUUACGUUAUCUUUCGGAAAGCAAAAGUUACACACGUAGUACUUCGUGUAGUGUUUACAAAACACUACUGCUCUGUUUUAUAGUACAUUUGAAUUUCAAUUUGUUUUACAGUACAUUUGAAUUUCAAUUUAUUAAUAUAAUGUAUGUACUACGAAAUUAAAAGGUGAAUAUGUUCGCGACAAAAAUUGGUAGCAUUUCAAUGCGUGCUUUGAUUUGAGCCAAACACGAAGUUCCGUUUGAAAUCCGGUUCAAGAUGAGAAUUCCUAGCACAAAUGACUUCUUCUUUUUCAGGACACAUCACCAGAAUUUGACGUGUGGGCUGUGUUUCUUUUAUUGAUUCUUCACACAGAGGUUCCAUGCAUGCCAGCUCUUAAAGUUAGCUCCCUCUCCAAAAACAACAACGUCCAUCACCUUUCGCUGAUGCCUUGAUGGGAAGCUCGCGUCGCGUGCAUGCCAUGCAUGGGCGCAGAGGAGGGAGGCAGCGGGAACAGUAGAGCCAGCCAGCCGAGCUGCCCUGAGAGAUCAGAUCCUCCUCGUGAGCAGGGCAAAGGCACGAGUGCAGCCAGCAGCCAAGUGUUUGAGCCCAUGCAUGUCAACCUUUUGGGCACACUUCUUAACGUUAACAAAGGCGAAGUGUUAGUACUGCAUUAGGUAGGAUCUCCUUCACUGUUUAGCGUUGUUGGGAAGUGAAAUCAUGGGGCCAUAAUUGCACGGCACGCAACAGUGGCUCGUUCCUUUUGCAGCAAUCCUGGCUACCCUCCUUUUAAGGAGAGGUUCUCUGUGGAGCUGGGAGUUGUUUACAUCGAUGAUCUCUGUUGAUCUAUUCCCUCCCUUUCCUCUGCAGCUUGUCUCCACAACUUUAUUUGCAGGGUAUCUUCAGCAGUGUCUUGCAUUGCUGCCUGUGGUCCAUGUGCUACAGCAUCUGAACCUCUCUUCAGCGCCAAAUCUACCAGUGUUCCUUUCAUCUUCCAUGGAUCCUCAAUAAAGCUUUCAGACAAAUAUUACUAGUUCUGUUAAAAAACAGAGAGACUAGCACUACUGUCUGCAGCAUGAAGUGAAUCAUGUUGGUUUUGGGGGCAUAACAUUGAAAGAUAGUUUAACGUAGUUCUUUUGUGUUGAGCUUUUCCCAUUGAUUCUUUCUUGGAUAUCCACAUAAACUUUUUGGGUGCGUGUUGGAGAAACCAUGCUGCACACACACCAUGAAGUGCGCCGGGCUUUCGUCUGUGGGCGCACACCGAGUUCAAGUGUACUGCAACAGCUGGUGGUGCUUGAACUAAUGGAGGAAGAAUCAGAUGCCCUAGUCAUGAAAAGACUCCAGCCCUAAUCGAUCUUUUCGUUUCUUUUGCAUAUUCCAAGUGGGUGCUGAGUUGACAAUUGACCUUGACCGUUUUGACCCAGGUUCAUGACAAAAUUUUGUUAUGUGAGAAAAAAAAAAGAGUGUGUGCCAAUUGGUGGUGGCGGCCAUGCAUGACUGCAUGAAAGGCAGCUCGGUUUACUAUAGAUGUCGCAAAAGGAGAUGCUCUACGGGAAAUGUCAUGGCAGAAGAAGACAAGCAAAAGGCAUUACCUGAACUCUUCUUUUUCGUAAGCAGAUUUGCAGGGUAGGGUAUACUCAGGAAGAACCACGUCAGUUUAAUAAGGUAAGAAGUGUAGUGAGGUUAACCAACUUUCUCGGUGUGGACACCUCCCCACUUUCUCUUCAAAUUUCAUAUUUCAGGAAUAGAGACGCAUAUAUUGUUCGAUAUCGGCACAUUGUUUUAUUCCCGAUUAAUUCUCGUAUUAAGUUGCUGACGAAUAUGAACCACGUCAGUUUAAUAAGGUAAGAAGUGAAGUGAUGAGGUUAAUUAAAUAAUGGUGUGUUUGGUUUGAGGAAUCACCUCAUCCUAGAUGAGAUUAUCCAUCACUAGUUGAUCCUAUAAAAUUUAGUGGGAUGACCCCAUUCUUCAUGGUUAUAUUUGUGAGGAAUGAGGUAGCGAGGGAUCAACUCAUUCCAUUCCACAAAUCAAACAAAAAAAAGUAAGGAGUGAGAAGAUGAGGCAUAACUCCAUUCCUCAAACCAAACACCCCACAACUUCUCGGUGUGGACACCUCCCCACUUUCUCUUCUCCGAAUGUCAUAUUUCAGGAUAUAUUGUUCGAGAUGGGCGCAUUGUUUUAUUCCCGAUUACCUUCUCAUAUUAAGUUGCUGACGAAUGUUCGUUCGGAAGAUAUUGUCGGAUAUGAUCAUAUAUCCGAGAAAGUGUCGUCCACCCGGCCCCUUUGUUCUCAGUUCUCACCACCAAUCGUGAAACACACUAGGUACGUGAUUCGAUUCCUAAUGAGUGGAGAGUCAUUCAUGAGAUUCCGACGACCUCCUCUCCUCUUCAGCAUUUCUAGUACGAGAUGACGACGGAAAUCCAGAUAGAAAUCAAAAGGUGCAAGCAAACCUGCAUGGCAAGCAAAACGCAUGCAGUAUCACGAGAGAGGAAGUAGGGUGGGGGAUCGAGGAUUAGAACAAAAAAAAAGGGGGCCGCCGCGUCGUCUCUUUGGCUUGGAGAAGAGAAAGGCUCGAGCUUUCUGACCGAGGAGAGAAUCGCCUCGAUCUGCAGGCGCGCGAGAGCACAUCAACUUUGAACGCCCAAAAGAAGCCUAUCCACGUCGUGCAGCCCAAAGCGGACCUGCCAGCGCUAGAUUCGCUGCACGCUUCUCCAUCUCUCUAUCGUCGUCUCCCUCCCAGCGCCAGCGGCAGGAUUGAACGCGAUGGCAAUGAAUAUUUUAUCCAGCAGCAGGGAAGGGAAGCCGGGUCAGGGUGUGCUGUGUCUCAGUGCCUGUGUGCAUGGCAUGGCUUCAGAGUUCAGAUUCAGUUCAGUCUCGCAUGCCAGUCAGAGUGUCUACUGGUCGUGUGUUCUCUCUCGCUAGGCUGGGAAUCUUUCUUUCGCUUUACCGACGCCGCUGCGUGCGCGCUUGAUAAAGGUGGCGGAGGCCUCCUCCCUGCAGGGAGAGAGAAGCUGGCUCGGUAGCCUCGAAAGCGCAGCAAAGCGAGCAUGCAUCAUGCAUGGAUGGAUGCCUGCGAAUGAAACCUGAGAACCGAACGGCCUUUUCCCGGUUUGAUUUGCUUUGGCGCCCGGCCUUUCCAUGCCGGGUGCCGGCCGCUGCGCCAUCAGGCAUACGUGAGGCCUGAUCUUGUCCGAGCUGUCCAUGGCACCGGCUGAUCAUAUUGGCAGUGCAUGCAAUGGCAGUGCAGGCGUAACCGGAGUGCGCCGUGCGCGACGGGCUGAGAUGGGCGUGCGUGCCUGCGUGCAUGCCGACCGAUUUAACUAUGACCAAUGAGGAAUCAAAUCCUCCGAUCGCCGUGCUGCUUGGGCCGGCCGGCCAUCAAUCUAAUAGUAUCUAGGAGUACAAUCAGUCAGUACUUGUAUAGUAUAUAAUAUCUUAAACACGGCUGCUGAAUGCUGCACUGCACGGCGGAGCAGAAUCUAUCGGCCUUAAAGUGCGUCGCGAGCUAAAGCGAUGGCGAUGCUGCCCUCCGUCAGUAACAGUAGUAACUCAGUAUCCUCCAUCCCUGCGUGCGUGGCUGCAUGUUCGCGACGGGCAGGUUUAGUAAAAGCCGCGCUGGCGCGGCGAAUCUCCUCGAUCGGCAGGCGUCGUAAACCCGUCCCUACCCCGAGGCUGGGAGAUUCGGAGCGAGCCGGAGAUACGCUAGAAAGCUGGGCUCUGCUUAGCUCCUUCCUUCUCUCUCCCUUGCUUUAUUUCCUGAGAUCAGAAAGCUUGCAUUGAGUCCAGCCGAUCUGGCUGCUCCCGCGCUGCAGCCUGCUACUGUUGCCUUCUCCAACGACUGCGAGCGAGCCGGGACGUUGACGUUCUGCUGCUGCUGCUGCUGAUGGCGGAGCGCAUGCGAUGCGAGCGCGGAUCGAGCACGCGGUCAGGUCUGCGGCGAGCGAGGCCACUGCGGCUUGCAGGAAGAUGAUGCCCUUGCGGGGCACAUGCAUCAGAGUUCAGACGCGAUGGUGAACGAAUCUAUCGUAGUCGAUCCUUUUCGGUUCACGGCUUCGCAUACAGGCCGCGCGCCUCCAGAGAUGAUGCUACUGUUGCUGCAGAUCAGCAUAGCAGAGUUCAUCGUCUCUGCCUCCUCUCUGGGGUGCUUGUCUCUGGACUGGGCCCCAUGUGACGGGGUCUAGUUUGGGCUGUGUUAAGAUGUCGGGCCGGGCUUACAUGUUCGUUCGUAUCAACGAGCCCGAAGUUAGCCUCAUUUCUGAAAAAAGAGACCUCAAAAAAAAUUCUGAAAAGGAAAAAAGAACUCUCCGAAAGAAAAAAUGAACCUGCAAUGCUCGCGAGUCAAACUUCGCAGCCAAUUCAAAUGUAGCCACUGCACCCUAUCAUUUGAUCCAUUUUCCGGUUACAUCGCCACGUGGCCUCCUUCCCCACCUCCCACGUAGACAUGCGUAACCCCAACUAAUUGGCGGCACUAUCUACUCCUCCUACACUUCCCAUAGUGAAAGUCUAACUCGCUGUAUGAUUGGAAACUCCCACAGCUACCACUGCGGCUGAUCAUCCACCAUACCAAGCUGCUGCUGUCAGACAGCACGAUGAACAACACAAGCAUCUCUGCUUCUUUCCACGUCCCGCAUGAUCAUGAGCUGAUGGAAAACACGACAAGGUGCUUUGCAGUUUGCGGACAGUCCAUUAGCAUCUCUCAAGCUCUCGCAACGCAAAAUAAAAAUUUAAGAAAAAAAUGAAGCACUGUUUUGCCGUGCAAAUCCCUCCCUGCGGAGGACACAGUCGGCAUUAUUCCCUAUUUGACAGCUCCCACUUUCCGCUCACUAUGCGCGAUCUCGAGCACAAAAUCAGUUCAUCACCGAAUGCGAUGCCGAGGAGCCAAAGGUCAACUCCGCCAAAGGUGGCUCUAGCUUAGCUAGCCGCUACUGCUUGGUGGCCCCAAUAACUCACCGAUCGAGACCGCUUUGGUCUUGUCAGUUGUCACAAGUCUCAGUCUCUCUCGCUCGGAGCAACUUGUGCGUGUUCUCUCUUGCAUUGGGAUCAUGCGUGAUCGCCCAUGAUUACAUUGUCAUUGCCCUAACUGAUUACAUUCACUGCAAAAAAAGGGGGGGGCAAAAACUUCUUAAAAAAUGCGGCACUUCACAAUUUCUUUAUGUUUUUUCCUUUUUCAGAAUUAGUAUAUUUUAGUUAUUUACCAUAAGAAUACACAUAGAAAUUUAGCCAUGUGAGCAAAUGUGUGUGCUGUAGGUGAAGCUGCAGAAAAGCAAGCAGCUGGUAGCUUGGAAGCGUGCUCUCGCUUUUCUCCCUGUCGCUGAGGCCUGAACCCCAGCUCCCGAGGUCCAUAACCUGUAGGGGCCAACGACGCAAUGUGCGUCCAUUCUUAUCCAACAACUGUUAAAACUGAUUGAUCGAUGUGAGGUUGAACUGCUACUAGUGAAAGUGUGCCUGCGUCUUGUGGUCCAAUAUUCCCACAACUUGCAUUGGUUCGCAUGCCAGGAAAAAAAACAAUAUUCCUGGAUUUCUUUACGCUAGGUACCAGGUAAUAAAGAAAGAAAAAGAAUUCAGAUCGAAGUCCUCGAUGAUAACAUUUAUUCGUGUAAACCUAGUAAGUUUGUUUCUCUAUCUUUUCCAUCUUAAUUAUAGAAACUACUACUCCAAUCCCUCUACUAUUAUGUUUAUCCAUGGACCAUGGUGUUGGGAGAAAACGUUUUACAAUGUUUAUCCAUUGAGAAUAUCAAGAUUGUAGUUAUUACAAUAUUUUUCACUUUCUACCUUUAAUUAGAUGCUCUAAUGGAAGAGAAAUUAUUAUAUUAUGACAUUAUUUUACAUUGAUUUUUUCCCUUAAAACUAGAAUGUCCUUGUGCCCAUGGUGUGCUAUGGGCAAUUUUUUUUUAACAAACAGGCUCCAGAUCUAUUAGGCUAUUACUAUUUGAUAAAAUAGAGAAAAAUAGCGAGCAGUUCUGGUAGGCUGUCCACACGAAAAGAAAACAGCAGCAGCAGCAACGUGUGUCGUACUACUGUACAGAGAGCCUCCGCUACAGCCCAUCAGUACUAGCUGGCAAUCCCCUUUAGUACCGGUUGCACAACCGGUAUUACUAGUUAGUACCGGUUGAAAUAAUCGGUACUAAAGGGGUAUUAAAAAAUAAAAAAAACCCACCCUGCCCGAGCCGCACCCCGCCGGCUCGAGCCCGACCCGCACCCCAACCCCCCGCUCGAGCCCGAGCCCACCCUUCCCCCUGCCGCCGCAGAUCCGCCGCCCCCGGCCCCGGAUCCCGCCACCCUCGGCCCCGCAUCCCCCCGCUGCUGCUCCAUCCGCCGGAUCCCACCACCACCACUCCACCCGCUAGAUCUCGUCACCGCCGCUCCAUCCGUCGGAUCUCGUCGCCGCCGCUCCAUCCGUCGGGUCUCGUCGCCGCAUCCUGUCGGCCGCUCCGCACCCCGAUGGCCGCUGCCGCUCCUCGCCUCAUGCACGAUGUGAGGGGCGAGCGGAGGAGGGAGGAGAGGGGAAGUCAGGGAGGGAGGGAGGGGCCGGGUCGGCACCAGCCUCCUGGAGGGAGGGAGGGAGGGUGCCGGUGCGGAUGGAGAGGGAGGCGGAGCGAGGGUGAAGGAGGGAUGCGGAUGGAUAAAAGGCUUGCGCGCGGGGGGGGGGGGGGGCGGGGGGGUUAAGCGGAUGGAUAAGGCUUGCGCACGGAUGGAGGGAGGCGGAGGAAACCCUUUAGUACCGGAUGGAGGUUUCACCCGGUACUAAAGGUCCUCAGGCACAUUAGUACCAGUUGGAGGCUUCAACCGGUACCAAUGGGUGACUUUUAGUACCGGUUGGAGCCCCUAACCGAUACUAAAAAGGGAUCACGGGGACCCUAGGGAACUAUCCGUUAGACCCGGUACUAAUGCUCACAUUAGUACCGGAUCGAAAACCAACCGGCACUAAUGCAGUGGACGAAAGAUUGAUUCCCCGCUAGUGCUCCACUGCCAACACCACAACACUGUCCGAGUGUCCGUAGGUCUCCACGCUGCACCACAAUCACUGUCAGUCUGUCACUGGAUGGCAAUGCAUCUUGCACUCUUGCCGACCCAUCGUGUAUGUGCUAUGGUCCUAUGGACAAGCAUUGCAAAACAGAAUAAGAUCAGCUUAGCAACAUUGAUGGAGUUGAGCCAAAGUGGCUGCUGGACCAGUUGGACCUUUCUCUUUUCUCUACCAAAACAUUGAUGGAGUCAAGUCAAAGUUAGUUUUUACUAACAAUAAUGCUGGUUGUGUAAUGAUCACGUUCAUGGGUUUUCCUCUAGAGGAAGCUGUAACUUGAUGAACACGCCCACCUGCCGAUCGAAAGGCGGCACGACACGCAGCUUGAUCUGGUCACGGCAAGAGCGUAAGCUAGAACCCUAGCUACGGGGCUUUGAGGGCUGAUACCAUCCAAUCAUCCACCGAACUUGAUAGAAUGGGGAAGAUGGCAAGAAAAGAUCUCCCCUUUGAUGGCUCUCUGCAGCUGCCUGCCUUUCUUUCAUUCAGUGACUGAUACAAUCGGCGGGAAUGCUAAGAUCUUUUUGCCCUUUCAGCUCAAGCACCUGCCAUAUGGAUCGAUCGCUGCUUUGACUAGCGCCAACACACAGCUGAUUCAAACUGGGACGACGACGACGACGCGGGCUUCUUAUUGCGCCAUUAUUGUCACGACUUCACGAGCGCCGCCACUUGGCCCGCUCGCGUCAGCCGCCGGAGAACGGCCGGCUGACACGUCGCCGGUCGGCAUCUUUCCGAUCUCUCUCAGUUCGGUGGGCAUCACCGGCGUCGGGAAUGGAAUGGAUCGAUGGUCCGUGUAACGUCAGUGACCCAGUGAUUGCCAUUUGGCAACAACGGGAAAAGUGUGAUGAGCUCAUCGAACUGGACUGAUCAGUCUGAACAACACCGGCCGGCAGAUGUUCUAGCAGGGUUCACCUCCGAUGGUAACUUGGGUAUCUUGACAGCUGACGUGCAAGUGACUGUAAAGUGUGAUCUGAGUGAAAACCCGUUGUGGUGAGCUCGGUUGUCCGUCCUCUCGCUCGGCCGCGAGUGACUGUUCGGUUCGCAUAAGCCCAAAGCCCCUAACUGCUAACAGCUCAAAACAGGCCCAGUUGCUAAACAAAGUUUCGGAAGAUCGUAUCGGUCCUUUUCAGCUUUCACAACUGGUAUUUGUUUUUGUCCAUUCAGUUCCGACUGACGCGAACCACAAACACCGAUCAAAACAAAACAUGACACACACACACACAUACGUGCUGCUUUCAUCCGAGUCCAAGCCGCUCUCAGCAUAAACAACCACCACCCACGACAGUUACACGCAUCUCGGUUGCUAAUCCGACCCCUUGACCAUUCGGUGCACCGGCCCCCUCGCGUCCAUUUCGCCCCCACGGGACCGGGGCGGCAAAGGGCGGCCGCGCUGGCUGAGCUCACCGGCGGCGGCGCUGAUGGGUGUCCGUCCUCCUGCCGGUGUCGUUUGCGUCGUGCGAGCCAAAGUGAAAGAACCAGGGUGGGCCGUCGGAACGGAACACGGCCUCCGUCUUUCUUGAUCCCUUCUUUUAAAUACUAUUAUCCACGAACUAAAGAAAAGAAGCAGAGGAUGUUAAGGAUGAUGGGUGGAUCGCCGGAUACGGUCGCUUUGACGACACUACUCAUGGCCCUAGAUUGCGUUGUCAGAAAGGCACCACUUGGGGGGCAGUUCUCCAAUUAUAAAACGCGGGGCGUCGUCGUCCCGGCGGAUCCCCGGCGAUCCCCUCGCCGAUCUCGAGCAGCGCCUUUUGUUUUGUCGCCCCACGACAGCUCUCUCUCCCGGCCCGAUCGCGUCCCGUAAACAACCGAAAAGAUCCAGUAGAAUUCCGUCCCCGCGAGACAUGGCGGUUGGGGGAGGGGAUGAUCUAUCUUACGGAUGAGGUAAAUCUAAGCAGGGGUCGCACUCGCGUACCUAAUUCUGGGGAUAAGUCUCCGCAGUUCGAUCUCCGAUGCGUAAACAAAGGCCUCUCUUUUCUUUUCGCUCCGGGCCGGGACGGGGGCGGGACCAAUCGUGCGUGGAUCGCCGAUCCGUCGGCCUCGACAGCGUCGUUGCCAGCAGCCUGUAGCGCAACAGCGAUCGAUCGAUCCAUCGCCCCGGCCGUGUGGUGGUGGUGGUGUGAUGGCCGGAGGACGUACCGCACGCCGGUGGAUCGAUCGCCGAUCGGCCGAGCGAGCUCGAUCGCCGGCUUGUCCUGGCCAGUCGACAGCGAAAAUCUGCUGCGUUCCGUAGCGUCGCCGGGCGAUCGGCCUCGCCGAUUUUUCUGCCCACGCGCGGCGGCGCCGAUGUGGGAUUGGCCCGGCGUGUACGUGUGCCGCGCGCGUGGCCACACGUGACGGACGAGUUGGGGCCAGGGCGUUACAGCUGUGGAAGAUACUGGUAGCAGUGAUCAGACGGCCCGAUCACUCACUAGAUUAUCCUGUUCUGGAACCCGCGCGCCAAUCAGUCGCGACGGCAGGUUCCUACGUUACGUUGCGUUACGCCUGACAGAUUGCUACGCUAGCUAGCUACCGUGGACGUACGACGCCUGUUGAGACGCCCCGCCCGCUGCCGUCGCGGUCCGUCGUCUCGCGUCACGGGACGCAACGGGGGCGAGACCCGAAAGGGAAAGGAGGCAAUGGCCGCCGUGCGUGCCGCCGGCCUUUCUCCCUGAGAGAGAGGGUCGUGUUUAUACUAGUCCACAAGAUUUUGGUAGGAGAGGAGCUAAGGAAAAGAAAUGAGCGCCGCAACAAAAACGACGGACCCUAUUCGCGGUCGCCGUCGCGCUCGGGCGCCCCUCCGCCGUCACGUCCCUACCGCGCCACAGCACCAUCGAUCGGCCGGCGUCCGUGAUCCGUGCUCGCGAGACCGACGGGGACUCUUCGCUUUGCUCGCGGUCGUUGUGCGCGCGCACAGCGCCGCAGCAGCCAGCCGCCAGGGAGGGGAGGGAGAAGACAGGGACCUGGGGGCCGGGAACCAACGGCCUGGCGGCCCCGCGCGUCGCGGUCGCGGCGUUUGGAUCGGGCCGGGGUGCCACGUGGGGUGCCGGCGCGGGGACCAGCGCCGGGGCGACGGCGAGCGAGAGAGCAACGGCGCGGUGGCGGGGACGGAACAGAAUAGAAGCGCGCGGAACAGUUGGCGGGCGCACGCCACCGGCAUAGCACCAAACGGACAAAGGCUUCCCCCGAAAUCCAGCGCCGGGGCGUUCGUUGCUUGCCGUGGGUCUCCAUCUCACAUCGCCACCACCCGCUCGGUGUCUCGGCGGCCGGAGGAAGAAUAAACAACGACAACAAGGAGGGACACGCGCUAACGGGGGGAAUGCAAAGCGGAAAAGGCUACAGCUUUCGUUUUCCUCUGCGCCUUCACGCAGCGAGCUCAUUCAAACUUUUUCCCCAUGGAAAAUUCAUGCGGAUCUCCCCACACACCAAUCCCAUGCAGAUCGAUCAGAUGCACCUAACGGUGGCCCUAUCGCCAUCAUUGCCCUGCAGCUAGCUCCUCGAUCGCCCAUCAUCACCAGGAUCAGCAGCGUAAUCACCAUCAUUACCGGCAACAGCAGGGGCGAUCGAUCGAUCAUCUACCACCAGCAGCUAACUCCUGGCUGGUCCUCCCCCCAUCCCAUGCGGCCAUGCCAUGCCAGCCCCGGCCCCCCACCCCCUGCGGGUGCCCGCGCUACACGGCGACGACGGACGCCGGGGCCCUGGGGAAGAUUUUCUGGCCCGGCGCGAGGAUCGCCAGCGGGUCGUAGCGGGCCUUGCGCUCCACGAAGCGCCUCCACCUGGCGGCGCCGAAGUGGCGCGCCCACUCCGCCUCGCCCCGGUAGCUCGGGAAGUAGGCCUUGUGGUCGUAACCGUUGGCGCGGCACGCGCGGAGGAUCGCGCCGUUCUGCGCCACCAGCUCGUCCACCGCCGGCCCGCCGCCCCGGCAGAACCGCAGCAGCGCCACCAGGUAGAAGACCUCGCCGUCCGGCAGCGCCACCGACGUGUUCGGGUCCCACCUGCACCAACCAAAACACGAGUUUAGGACUGAACGGACAGUAGUGCGCACUGUGAGCUGAAACCACUCUCACACUCUCGGCCAGUCGGCCCCACUUGGCAUGGACUGUGCAGUGGAGUCGGCCCCAUAAUUUAUAACAAUCAUAAGACACGGCUAAAUCCGAAACAGAAGCGGCGAUGGAGAAUCAUCGGAGCUCGGACCGGACCGGCCGUAUUACAGCAGGUACGGACGGACGGCCGAUUACCCGUCCGAUUCAGCACCCCGUCCUAUCCCGGACCAGCCAGACGUCAGCGAGACGACGAGCAGAGGAGAGGGCAAGGCGGCUCACAUGGCUCCCGGCCCUUUUGCCGCAAACGGCAACUGCACGCGCCACUGGACCAACGGCAGGAGGAACAGUACCACUCCACCACCACCGCUGUGCUACCCCGUACGGCCGUGUCCGCACACACAGAGAGACGAACGAGAAGGGGGGGAAAAAAGAGAAAAGAAAACUCACUUGCUCUUGAGCAUGGGGUAGACGAGCAUGGGCCCGUCGAUACCGUCGGCGAGCAUGCCCUUGAUGAUGGCUCGGUCGAAGUCGGCGAUGUCGCGGGAGGAGACGAAGAGGUUGAGCCACGGGUGCGGCGCGUCCCAGCUGCCGUUGCGGCGGGCCUCCUCCUCCACCCGGUUCACGCGGGACAGGAAGUCCACGUACCCGACACCCGCCGCGAACUCCAGGCCCCGCACGUACUUGAGCGGCGCCAUCAUCCGGCUCACGGCCGCCGCCGCAGCCUGCACACAGGUAGGCAACAAACCGGACCGAUCAGGUCAGCGUGACGAAUCGACGACGGGCAGCGGCGCACGGACGGAUCGGCCGACCGGUGGGUGCCAACAGAAUCCGAGCAAUCAAUGCCGCCGUGGUCACUCCACUCCGGCGCGGAAAGCGCGCUGUGCUGCUGGGCGUUGCGUGCGCCGUGGGGACAAGAGCAAAGCGGGGGGUGGUGAUGAUGGCGCUGCGCGGGCGUCGCCAAAAGACGCGAUCCGCGUGGUCACGGGCCGGGGAGGCAGCGCGAUCGCGUCACGGCCGCUGCGGCCGUGUGGCGCGGCGCGGUGCCGCAUUGUACCGCGCCGAUUCGAUCGCCCCGCCCGCGGGGGAGAUCGGGGCGCGGCCGUGCAGCGCGGCGCGGCGUGGCGUGCGUACGUGCGCUGGGUGGUUUGGCAGGACGCGGAGGAGGCAGCAGGGCAGCAGCCGCGCCCGUCACCGAAUCCAGCGGGGGAUUACGCGACGAGGCAGACAUCCCCGCGGAAAAGUACACGCCACGCCACCGGCCGAGGGCAAGUACGGGAAUGCGCCGGGCGCGCGGGGUCUGGGCAAUUACUGCUACCUACCUUGUCCUCGUCGUCCUCCACCGCGCCGUCCGGGUACUGGUACAGGGCCACCUCCAGGCAGUAGAGGACGGGGCCGGCGCCGGCGGGGAGGAGGGACGCGUCGAAGCGGGCGCCGCCGGGGAUGGGCACGGACGGCCACCCGUUGACGGGGUCGUCGCUGUUGACGAACGCGAAGCCCUCCACGUAGUCGAACGCCUCCUCGGGGGGCCGCGUCACCAGCCACUCCGCGUCCGCCGUGUAGUCGGCGAAGCUUGCGUACACCACGCGCGUCCACCGCACCGCCCGGGGCGCCCGGCGGAGCGGGAUGCGGGCGCGCGUGAUGACGCCGAACUGCCCCAGCCCUCCCAGCACCGCGAAGAAGAGGUCCGGGUGAGAGGACGGCGAGCAGACGCGGCAGUCGCCGUCGCCCGUGACCACCUCCAGCUCCGCCACGUUGGACACCUGCGGGCCGUAGCGGAAGGACUGCCCGCUCACGCCGCCGUUGGAGAGCGUGCCGCCCACGGUCAGGCGGAGGUAGUCGGUCCAGGACGCCGGGGCGAGGCCGUGGUUCUUCACGCCCCAGUGGAGCACCUCCUCCCAGAGCGCGCCGCCUGGGACGUCGGCGUAGCAGGGGCCGUUGUUGCCCCCGCCGGGGCAACCCACGAGCUGCAUCUGCGGGCGCCGGGACAGCGCCAGCGCGCGCAUGUCCAGGACCAGCCCGCCCUCCGCCAUGGCCUGCCCGGCCACCGAGUGCCCGUUCCCGCGGGCGGCCACGGUGAGCCCCGCCGUCCGCGCCGCCGCGCGGAUGGCGCUCGCCACGUCGUCCGCGCUCGCGGGGCGGACCACGGCCGCGGGGAUGGCGCUCACCAGCCCGCCGAAGUCCGUCGCCGCCGCGCACCCCGCCGCCACGGGGGCCGGCUCGCCGGCGUCCUCCGGCUCGGCGGCCGCCGCCGCGCGGUCCAUGUACGCGAGCAUCAUCUUGCUUGCACGAGGGAGCGUUGGCCUUUCGGCAGCUGCUAGCAGCUGAUGUCCCAACCCAAACCCCUCCCAGCACAGGCGUGAAGCCGAGCUGAUUAGGCAGGCAAGAAGGCAGAGCAGCUAGCUAGCUUGGGGCGCUCUCCCGGUGUUUGUGAUGUCACCGCGCUCCGCUCGCUUGCGCUCGUGGUAGUUUGGGUCUCGCGGGGGUUUAUAACGAGCGGACACGCGGACGUCAAACGCCCCCUCACGUUUCUCAAAAACAAGAGGAAAUAAACAAACGUCGGCAUGUUGCAAAUUCCAACCAAAGUUUGCAACUCUUUUCCUUCAUUUUUUAAAAAUCUUUUUUUGUUUCGGAUACUAUGCAUUACUAUAGCUUUCUUUUCUAGAGAGGCCGUCCAGUCAGUCCCUGCCUUUUUCGAGUUUCACAGAUGAUUGCAGCGCGGAGAUGGAUGCUUAUGAUCGGAUCUAACGUUAGUUUGUCUGCCACUAUUGUGCUCGCAGCCGGGAGGAGAAUCAGCCGAUGGGCCACCAUGGCACCCUCUUGCUUGGACCUGCAAAUAAUUCAUCCGUCCUACCAAUUCUUCACUUUCUGUGUGCUGCAACCCUGAAGCUCCUCCCGUGCCCGUUUCACCACUGCAACUGCAACCGAUCACUCGCUAGCUCCGGGCAGAUGGAUGGAUGGAUGGAGAUGAGAACGAACGAACACGGGCACAUGGCGCUCGUCGUCCUGCGGCAGGCCAGAUUCGCCAGGUUGCCCAAAAAUUUCUCGGUCGCGGCGCCCAUGCCUGCCCGGGAAUGGAUGCGGGAAGAGCACGCCCCCACACGCGGCCCUGUGUUGAAGCUGAAGUUUCCAUCGCCCCAGCCGGCCCCCAGCCCAGGCGUACCAGGGCGCAGCUGGUGGUGGUGUACCGCGCCGCGCGGGGCUUGACCAAUGGCAUGGCGACGCUGUACUCCUUGCCGCUGGAUCGUCGCGCGCGCCGAGGGGCCGAGCACGGGCGCGAUCGCCGAGCUCAGGAUUGGAAGUUGGGGGUAGGGUCCAGCUGCCACUCGCUCACUCGCCGUGUCUCGCUCAGCACUCAUCUGGCCGUGUCGUACUGUCGUCUUCCUCCUGGCGAUGGCCGAUGGGGUCCGCUCCUAUCCUUGGAUGCGGUUGCGCUCGCUGGGAUUGGCAUGCGCGGGCGGUGACUGGAAUUCACUGCCGGAGACAGAAAGACGGGAGGUGCAGACGGCGAGGAGAGGCGAGGGGGGGAACCGGAGCACAUGAGCGGAGGCUCCGGAGCUGAGCUGCAGAAAACGGGAAGGGCAGGAGGCGGGGUGUGUGGUUUUUUUAAUUUUCAUUUCUUUCUGAAACAAGGAAAGUGCCUGGUGGUCCAUGCACUUCCGUUUCCUGGCUAGUGGUUUGGUUUUAUUUGAAUACAAUGGCUGGCCAGGAUGAGUGCAUCUUGUUUGCUUCCAAAGCUAUACUGCAGCAAUAUAAUCCCGCGGUGAAAUGUGAAAACAGGGCAGCAAUUCGCAAGUGUUGAAUUGGCAAUCAAUCGUGAGGAAUGGAAGGAUGGACUUGCACAACUUUUGCUGGUGGAUGAGAGUCAAUUGCCCAUGGUCCAUCCGGUUGUAAUGUUUUGGUCAUUGGCAUGGUGUGGAGAGAAAUGCCAUUUCGAGCAUUUGUUUACAAUGUGCAUUUGCACUAGCACCCAUGUUUUGAAAAAUGUCAUAAUAUUAUGGCAGUACAAUGGGGCAUUUUGUCAUGUCUUUGUACUAUAAAUGUCCAGGACUCCAAAAGUGAGACUGCAAUGCGUGUAAGAUUCGGAGGAAGUGCUACGUCACAGUACCAAUUGUUACAAGAUUCGCGUUCACAUCUAAGUUGUCGUAACAGAUGAAAAUCGCACAUUUAAAUCACGAGGAUCACAGUACCAAAUCCAGAAGCCCAGUUACCAUUACCACGACGGCUCCACUGGCAGUAUAAAAGAGAGGAUAAAAACUGGAUUACGAUUUCAGUACAAACAAAACGCUCAGGGCUGCGUACUUGCCGUCAUCACUCAUGGGCAGUGCUGAAUUGCUGAUACCAGCACAGUGUAUACGUCCUCUUCAAGCGCGUAUCAGGGGUUCAGGAUUUCCAGAAAAGUACGCCUGCAUGACGGCCAAUGUGGAUCCUCAGGAUCGGCCUCGGAAAGGCUCCGGGGGCGUGAGUACGCUACCCUGCACCAAGACGAUUCGCUAGCAGCUGCCUGUACGUGCAGCGCCUUCAAUGGCGCCCCAGCUACGUAGAUCGCGUCGCAGCAGCCUCUCAAGCCCUGACGAACUCAGGGUCCGUUUGGCAGCUGCAUGCCUUUUUUUACCAUCUCCGACGAGCCUGGAUCAACAGAACAUGGCUACAUAGGUGCAGAAACUUAUGUUGUUUGGUAAGUUGAAUCAGUGUAAACAGGCUCCCCUUAAACGCUGAUUGGUAGGCUGCACAAAUUGGUAUGCUUACCUUGUAUACAAGACACGGUAGAGUUACCAUCCACCAUCUCUACUUCUCUAAUCUUCUCUAUCUCCUCUGUUCUAGAAUCAGGCACUAGUGAUAGCUUUUCUCUAACUUCCCUCCAAGCAGGGUACAUGCUCUCAUGGUUGCCUACUGUCAUUGCUCGAGUAACCAGGACAUGCACACGUAAACACAUUGGUUGAUGUCGUUGCUACCAGGUUAGACUAGCGAAUCAACGGGGCGAACACAAGCGGCUAUGCUGCUUACGUUGAACAUGAAGACGUUGCCGGUGAAGUGAUCCAGAGGCCAGAGCCCCAGAUGGUGGUGGCGAAGGCGAGAUGGACUAGCCUCGCCGCCGUAGGAGCAAGCGACGUGCAGCGUGGCAAGGUGAAGAGGGCCUCCCCGGCUCCUCGCCCGCGGUCAGGAACGGCAUCGCCGUCAAGAACCACGCCGCCCACACCUGACACCAUCGCGCCUCAUCUCGGGGCCCUUUGAUUCUUUUAGUGACAAUUUCGAAUUGAAUGGCUGAAGGCUUUGAUUCGAUGUGCGUGAGCUUGGUUUUGGCGGUGAGCAGCUCGAUUGGUGGCUUGGUGAAUUCUGAUUUAAUUUGUGGGGAUUGGAUUUGAGCCUGGAUGCAGGUAAUAGAGUGCGGUGGCGAUGUCAUGUGCAACAAGAGCCAGCGCAAUCACUCGGCAGCAGCCUCCACAACUCGUCCGCCGGCUGCACGGUGACCGCCUCGACCAACUUCUCGUCCUUGGCAUGGCAGUAGCAUGAUAAACUCGGCUGUCGGCCGCUGAUGGUCGAGGCCCCCGUGGAUGCGGGUAGCAUUGGGGCACCCUGCGGGACCGGAGGUUAGCGAUGACCGGCGAGGUGGCUGCGACGAGGGGCAGCGAUGGGAAGGGGCGAACGGCACACCCUGGCUAGGAAGAAGCAGCAGCAUAGGGAAGAGAGAUUUGGGAAAGAAUACUUGUUCACAGGCUCACGGGUGGUGACCGCGGCUUCUUACCCGCCGCUCGAGCGAACCAGGCUCGCGUGGAACGACCAAAUUCUCCGUUCCACGCGGUGCAGCUUUUUUCAUCCGAUGAACCAGGCUCAUAAGCUCUUCAGGCUACCGAAGACGUCGAAAGUCAAAGAUGCUGCAUCCACAGAUGCAGCGCUGGCUAGGUACAGGCUGCCAAUCGCCCCCUCAGGCGCCUGAGGCCUGACUCGCUGCGAGCCCGGUCGCGCAGCGUCGUCGUCGGCGCACAGGCCCUCCUGGCCUUCCGUCCGUGCGGCCGGCUCAGAAACCCACGCCCCACCACGUGAAGGGACGGAGCUGAGCCCGGCCGCCGGCCGGCGUCAGCGUACGGCGGCACCGAUCGAUCCACCCCCACAGGCGGCUGCGGAGAAGAUCGCGUCGCCAGUCGCCGCCAGGUCGUGGCGUCACGGCACUGUUGCAUUGCAACGCAGCGGCGGUCGCGCGCAAUAAUUGUCUGGUUGCACCGGUGACGGUUGGGGUCUCCGUCGCUGCUGGAGCGCUGGCCUCGAUGUGUUUGGACGGGAGGGCGAGAGGUGUUCAGCUUCAGGGCCCGGGGGGGCCCCGGCCAUUCGGAGACGUUCCGGAAGGAGGCCAACGCGAGCCUCUGUCUGUCUUUGCUCUGUCGUCUGUGCCCUCUGUUGACCCGGUCGCCGGGGUUUUAAGCACAAUUUUCAGGGUUUGCUGAAUGCAUUGUGCAUAGAAACUUGCGACUGUGGGAGUUAUUUUCUCAUGGUUCAGUUCCAUCCAAAGUCACUUGAGCCUUGGCAAGAAGCUUAAGCCAUGGAGUAGUGCUAAACAAAUAAGUCAAAUACUACCUCUGUUCUAAAAUAUAUGAUGUUUGAUUAGUUUGUGCUAACGUCAUAUAAUUAAGAGUCAUAUAAUUAAGAGCGGAUAUGGUAUUAUGGUAUAUUUCAGUAACUAAUGUUAUCCUAAACACUAAACAGGAGGUCACCCACCGUUUAACUCUUUAUUCAGACUAAACAGCCAAUUAAAUAAGUUAAACAUGCAAUUAAACAAGCCAAACGGAUGAUUAAACGGUCACGGCUAAGCACGGUGUAACGUUUAUACCGAGUGUAAAACGGGCUAAACAGCCGUGGGUCAAUCAUUUUCUUGGCUACGAAAAUUACAUUAUUUUCUUUAAAAAACACAUCACUCGUGCUAUUUGAAUUUUUUUAAAAACUUAUGCUAUUUGAAAUUAAGAUGUAAGAAUAUAUAGUACAGUGCAACACGACAAGUUUGAGUCACUUCAGUCAUUUUACCCGUCACGAGCAUGAAACCGUGCUAAGCGUGCGAUAAAACAAUUUCCAUUGCGCGCAAUGCCGGUGUUGCUACUUCUGGGGAGAAAAAUAUGUCGUGGAAACUUCUAUCUUCGUGUCAUCGUGUGCCCCCCUUCUCUGUGCCGUCGAUUGAGCUCACCGCUGAUCGACGUCUCUGUCGGGCUGUGCGGUUUGGAGCGUCGGAGAAAUUCUCCGGGGCCCUUUUUCUAUGGACACGGAGGGAAAUUCUCCCUGAUGGUGCCGUCGCCGGUGUCAUGUAGCCGGCUCGGCAAGAGGGCAAUGAUUUCUCAGAAUCUCUCCGCGUCUUGCCCUUCUCAUGCAUGUCUUGGCAACCUUGAUCGUGGCGUCACUGUCACUUAUUUUGCUCGCAUCACGUAUGGUCUGUAUGGAUUUGAGAAUUUUGGAUUGUAGAGGACAUGACAUGCUACUUGCAAAGGCAGGUAUAGGUCAGCAACAUAUAUCCAAAACAGAAAUCUUUUUUCUUUUGAAAACACGAGAAAACCUCUCGGAAACACAAAAUUUCCGACCACAAUUCGUAACACUUGUAGUAUGAGCUUUGCAGAAUUGCAAGGGAAACAGAGUAUGCAUUCUCUGCUGUCCUUGGAUGCCGUGCAGAUACAUCCAAAAUGCUUUUGUGAUAGUAUGAGUGAAAUUGGAUAUACUCCUUUAUUGAGAACCAAAUUUUUUGGAAAUUUAGGCACAAGCUGUCACUCCCAAUCGAGCAAGACAAGCAAUAAUAUGCCCCUGUAAAAGACAACAAAUGAUGAAACGUUGAUAUGAGAUGGAACACAAUAAUUGGCCAGGAAAUGUCAGCUUCAAUAGGCCUAGCCUUUCUUAGCUUUCCUUGUCCUAUGAAACUUAUGUGUGUGUAUAGGUAUUCCAACAAUCAUUCCUUGAGAAUGUGCACUAGUCCAGAAUUGCCCUUUUGCUGCAUGGCAGCUUGACGUCUCACCCACAAUUGUGUCAAGCACUCAAGCGUCAGGUUCCAGCCGUUUAGAAUGGCAAUAUGGCAAGGUCAUUCACCCUCACCAUGCGGACAGUGAAGGAAACAGAGCUAUCGCAUAUACCAUCACAAUUCAUACAGAUCUUACUAACGAUAGGGAACAAUAUUGGACGUCAAAUUCUGAGACAACAAAUGUGGAAUGCCUUGUCAAUCAUAGUUCACCACAGAAGCAAAUCGUACGUUGUUCAGUAAGCACUGAAGCACCAAUGCCGGGAGAGGACUGGAAUCAUGAAACCAAUCAGACACGGCAUGCUACCCUGAAGAGUCGGGGGAUGCUAGCACCAUUGCCAACAUGGUCAUCUCAAGAAUCCGCAUGAGCACUGGAAGCGCCAUUUACACCAUGGUCUUUUGAAGAAUCCACAUGACCACUUGCAGCACCAUUGUCACCAAGAUUGACAGGAGAAUCUCCAGUUCUGGACGUGGCCUUCAUCAAAACAAGUUAUACAAGACAAGCAUGUAAGAGCUGCCAUAGUUGUUGCUUGAAGAAUCAGUCAAGCAUUACUUACAAGAAGCGAUGAUAGGACCGAUGAAGGCUCAGGAAAUGGUGGCAGACUAAUUUUGGCACGCUCAGACAACUCCUGCAUUUCCACCAGCCAGUAUGAGUCACCUGUUUGUAGGACAUGAAGUGGGUAAUUGUUAAGCUAGAACAGGUUUCACCUUGAAGCAAGAUCGGAACUUCAGAUUCUCAAUGACAGAAUUAAGCCUCCAUGUCCUAUUCUCAAGUUCCAGUCUCCUGCAGUCAAGAUGCAGCCGCAUGUCCUCCUGCAGUUCUCGCAUAUCCACCUCCAGCUGCUCCAGCUGCGCUACAGACUCCAGAUCCAGCCGUCGCCGCCUCUGAGGGUGUUGAUCAUUCACCAGCUCACUGCCUGCUGUCCGUCUUUCUUCAACCUCAGCAUUCUCAGUGGACGUAUUGAUAGAUCCAUGCUCGCUGCACGUUGUCUGUGUCUCAUCCACCUUGGCAUUCUCAGUAGACGUAUUGAUAGACGCACACCCGCUGCCUAUUGUCUGUCUCUCUUCCGCCUCAUCAUUCUCAGUGGAUGUAGAGAUAGAACUACGCUUGCCGUCUUCUGUCGGUGUCUCUUGCACCUCAGCAUUCUCAGCGGGUGUGUUGAUAGAGCCAUGCUCUCGGCCUGUUGUCUGUACCUCUCCCACCUCAGCAUUCUCAGUGGAUGUAUUGAUAGGACCACUGCAUUUGAUGAGCAAAUAAAUCCAGUUAUUGGAAAAGAAAGUUACCCUAAGCACACAUGCCAUAUGUAAAGUUAAUGUAAUAUGAGACUAUGCUCACAUAUCUAUUGUAAAGAGAGUGUGAUGAGACCAUUUUACCCUAUUUAAUGACAUAUUUUAACAGCUCAGCACCUCUCACAGUAGAGAAAAAAUAGGGAGGAUGAAGAAAGUGCAAUAACAAAACCCUUGAUUUUCUUAAAAGAUACUAAACACUUGGUUAAACAAUUGUUUUGGAACAAUUGAUCCAAUAAACUGGAUGCAAAUUUGAAAAUGUGGGUAAACUCAGCUGAGAUAUCCCAGGCAAACCAAACACUGGGUGCAUGGCAAAAAUACCAUACUGGUAUGGCCAUCAAAUGAACAUAAAAAUUUGAAAACUAAGAAGACACUUCUCAAUUGAAUGCACAAAGUUUAAAGUAUGAACUGAUACCAUGCUGCAAGGAUUAAAAGUAACAGAUGUUUAAACAAUUAUACAUCGAAAAGGAAAAAGAAAGGAGGGGAGGAGGGAGGAAGGAAUAAAGCUACCAUCCACAUCAACUUCUCUAUUUAGUUCCCUCUAACCCCUCUCAAAUAUGAAUCUAUAGUUAAAUUUUAAGCAUGGUCCUUCAUAGACUGCAUUCAUUGCUGCCCCCUCCCUGACAUUUUAUGCUUUUUGGAGCCCAUACCAAAAUGGUUUGAAUGAUUAAAUAAACAUUGAAUUGUGGUAGGUAUGUGCAAAUGUUGUUCAUAAGCUAAUUUUGUUAUGCGCAACUCACUAGCACAAUUUACCUCAAAAGCCUCACAAUACAUUUUCUUUAACCAUAUAAUAUUUGCAACAGGCAACCUAGUUUGGAUAGCAGAAGCUUUGGAAGAGAAAUUUACAUAGUAUGAGUUUGACGUUCGCACGCAAACAUGUUGACCUUACAGACAAUACUUUAAUACACUGAAUACUGGACAAACCGUACCUUUCGGGUGCCCAGAAUGGCAUACCAGACAUGAUAACAAGGUACAACUGCAGUUUUAAGAUGGCGGAUAUAUGGAAUAAAAAAAAUAUCAGAGUAAGAGUGCUUAUGUAUUUGUAGAUUUGCUACCUAAGAAGACGACUUGCGAAUCAGGUGAAGCUUUUGGAUAUUGUUUUAUAGUAAUAACUGCCUCCUCAUUACUGCAUAGGGCAAACAGAUAGCACUUGCAAAACUCUUGCUUUGGAUAGAAUGAACUCCACAAAGUGCAUUUCAUUAGAGAAGCAUAGAAUGUUCUUCAUUCGCACAGUGUGAAGUUUGGCAAACAUACCAUCAACCCACUGAGCAUUCAAAAAUUUGUCAUCUGCAUUGACUACCUGUGAACCAUCGCUCCAUCCCUAUACAAAAAUGAAAAAAGAUCAGCAACAUCACGGAAUAAGUAAUCAAUGAAAGAACCUGCAAGUGGUAAUUAAGCAUUAGAUUAAAAUUGAAGACAGAGAUAAGGGAAAGUGUAUUCGUGCACUUGCUCACUUAUUAGAUGGUACAAUAUUUUUCUCGUUUGGGAUAAUAUCACCUUGAAUUAGUAUUUUUAAAAUCAGUAAGCAGUAUUCACCCUUCCUAUUAUAUACACAACUUAAGAUGUGAAUAAACAGUAUAGAUCCGUGCAAACAUCCCUCGUACAAUAGUCCUCUAGAACACUGAUCUUAAAUUACAUGGAUGCACAAUAUCAAAUUUCUUACCACUAUGAAACCAAUGAAGAAUUGAACGCAUGUCAACUCAAACGAGCUAGCAUACACACAAAAGUUAAAAACAACAGGAACCCAGGCAUCCACCUUUUACAAAUGGUAACUUAAUAUGGUUAUUGUCUUUUUCUUGUGCAACUGGGUGACUCAGAAAUUACUUCUCAAUAUUCAAUAUGAAGAGAGCAGCAGAUUGUAAAGAUGACCACAGUUACUCCAACGUAACCAAAAAAGUAACAUUUUCUUCAACUCGAUUGCCAAAACAAAUCAUAGAAUGCCAAAAAAAAUGAAAUCACUCCAAACAUAUACACGGCAUCUUUUCCUCACAAGGUUCGGUGGGCAUGUGACUUAGCUUUGUCCAUAAAACAUAAGCUUAUGUAAUGCGCUGUGAGACUAAUAAUUGAAAGGUUUGGAUCAUUCCAACUCCACAAUGAAAGAAAUUUGUUUGACAGAUCUUGAACUUAUCAAAGGGUUAAACAUGUGCCUAAACAUAGAGAUGAACGUGAAAGCCAUUGUCAGCCUUGGCUGAAGAUACCUGAUCCAACUGACUAAACACUAAACAAUAGGACACCUUGAAUCAUGGAUCACUUGCUUGAAUUCCGGCGUGGACCAUGGAUAAAAAAAGAUAUUAGGUUCAGUUGAACUUGAAUACUAUAAAUUUCUGCAGUGAGGAUCCUAUCAGGUUCAAAGUCGCUAUUUGAGAGUGCAACUCACUGAUUGGAAAAGAAAAUCUAACAGAUGCACUUGAUUGUGUAUAUGUUGAAUAUGUCAAUGGGCGCAUACUGGCACUAAACAAUUUAAACACUAGCAUGGAAUGAUGGAACUCUGUUCGGACCAUACGGAAUUGUUUAUCUAAGAAAGCUUGAAAAUUGAGACUUCGAUACAAAAUUAUCAUUUGAGAAAAUGUGACUUUUCCUGUUUGCAUUGACUCUGAAAUUCAAUUAUGACCAAAGUACAAGGUACUGGACCUGUGUAUAACAUGAACAUAUGCUCCUGAAGCCUCUGCACCCAAUCUGACAGGUUGCCCUGUGAGUGGUGAGUGAUCUACCCUAUGCAUAGUACGGGUGGAUUGUAAAAAGGAUUUUUUUUUGCCAGCCUUGGGACAGGAGUGCUGAUACCAUACAAGCAAAGAAAUAAGGCUAGAGUGAGGGACUGAGGGGUGAUGGGAUGGAAAAACAAUUUACCGGUAUGGUGAUGUUGAGCAUCUUGGUGCGUUCCAAUCCUGUCAUAAGCUUGAUGAAAUCACGGUGAGUAGAGUACAUUGCAGCAUGAAUUUGUGCUUCCUCAAGGGAUGGAAGAUCAUUGGUCUGCCACACGUAGUCACGAAGUUCAUCAAUCAACAAAUACUGGAGUUUGGGAGCCUGAAUUGCCCAUUGAAGAUACUCGUCAUUGCUACAAGGAACCUCUAAGAACAGAAGGGACAGUUUUUCAAGCAAUGGGGAUACAGAAAUCAACGCUUCCAACUCCCUCGGACCAUCUGGAAAGCCUACAUGGAACAGGGUCAGCUUUGUCAGAUUUGGGAACCCUGUGAAGCCUGGGGGCAUGGUGGGAUGUCGCAGCCGCGGAGUUCCAGAACCGUGAACCCACGACACGAGAAGAUGGAUGGGUGCAGGGUAUGGACCAACUCCUCAUCCGACCUCUCAAAAUCAAGGUAGAGGGUUUGUACUCCCCUGAGCGCCAGGAGGCGCCGAGGCGGAGCCAGCGGCCGGAGUGGCGGAAAGACGCCGCGCCGAUGCGCGAGUGGCUGAACUCGCGGACGGGGCAGGAGUAGCGCCGGAGGAUGCCGCUGACGGCGUUGGGGUUCGCUCCAGCGCGCCAUUUGAUGCGGAGGGAGGGGACGGACUCCCAGCGGCGGCGCCAGGCGCGGGCGAGCGCGGCGGGGCAGGCGGGAGAGGAUCUCGUUGAGCAGCUCCGGCGGGACGGAGUCCAAGCUUCUAUUCCCUAGUCCCACCACUGCGUCCGGCGACGCGGCGAGGCCUCCAUUCCCGAUCACAGGAUCUAGGUUAUCCCUGUCCGCUCCCCAAACAAAAUCAACCCGGUCCCCGAGACAAUCAGAAUCCAAGGCAUGAUGCGGCCCGUGCAAGUCGAAGGGGAGAAGGCAGCAGAACACACCUCGAAGGCUAGGCCGGGGAUCGCCGGAGACACGGGCAAGGAGGAUCCGACACCGGCGGCGACGAGCUUAUCGCUGCUGGGAAGACAAGCGCAGGAGUGUGAAGCUCUGGCUGAUUCUCACUGCACGAAUGCAGGACUGCCCCCUUGUGCGGUUGCGGCUGCGGAAAAAGGCCCAUCAAAGAUGGUGGGCUUAGCGUCACCGAGAAAGUUCGUUCGGUCCGAAUUGUUUUUUUAGUUAGGUCUUUCUUGUCACAAAGCCCAACUGACAAUCAGAGGCCCAUAUCGGUCUGUUUCAACCUCAGGAUGGACAGGAUUUUUUUUAAAAAAAAGACCUUUCUACGUCCCUCACCUAUUGUCGUAGUCUUGGUUUAAUCCCUCAUGUGCAAAAUCGGGUAUUCGUAGUCCCUCAACUUCUAAACCCGUUCAUUUUGGGUCCCUUGCUGGGUUUGACCGUGGUUUUGCAUGGCGUGGUGUGGGCCCCACAUAUCAGGAAACAUGUGGUAGUGGGCCCCACAUGCUAGAUGGAUUUCUUCUUCCCUCCCUCUUCCUUCUCCCUCUCGAGCGGCACAGGGUGGGCCCAGAGCGGCACAGGGUGGGCCCAGGCUCCUGUAGUGGCUUAGGGCGUGAGGCGGCCAGGAUGGUGUAGGCACGGCCAGGGCACGGCCAGACCCCUGUCGCGUUGCUGGCUCGAGACCGGAUCCAGCAAACAGGCUAGGCUAGGGUGCGGCACAACCCUAGUGGUGUCCUAGGGACGCAAGAAGGUCAGGACGGCGUCGGGGAAACGACAACUGGGGAGCGCAGACAGGAUGGCGUAGCCAUGACUAGGCCCAGGUAGGACGUGGCGACAGUGCGGUCGUAUCCUACGAAUGGCGCAGACGCGGCCAGCAGCGAGCUGCUUGCUUGAGCGAUGGCCUUGGGGAGCGAGCUAGUCAUAGGGAGAGAGGGAGAAGGAAGAGGAGGAAUGGAGGGGGAAGAGAUAUAGGGAGAAGAAAGCCACCUAGCAUAUGAGUCCACUACCACAUCAUGCAAAACUCGAAACCAGCGAGGGACGAAAAACAAACAGUUUUGAAAGUUAGAGACCGCCAAUACUCGGUUUUGCACAUAAGUUACUAAACCCAGACUAAGGCAAUAGUUGAGGGACGUCGAGAGGACUUUUUUCUUUUUUUAAGGCACAAGUUCCAAUUUUCAUUAAUCAAUAAGGAUGAAAUACAAACAUGUAGUUUACCUUAUGCAGAAGCAAUGCUAUUAUCUAGCACCACAUAAUUUGCGUUGGACGAAAAAAUUAUAGCAUGCACAACACACUACAGGUUAUGUGAAAAAAAAUCAAAGCAAGAAUUGACCACUGUAGUCGCAGCUUGAGUUGAUUCCAUCAGGUUGUGGUGGAAUUCGAAUGAGGAACCAAAGCUUAACAGAUCCGAGAAUAGAAGUGAUGCCAACUUCCACAAGCUUCAAACUUCAUUCUCAAAACAAGAUGAUAUGGAUUAUAGUUGCAUACAGUACAGGUAAAUAGUUGGAUUCAUACAAGUCCCCAAAACAUCAUGGCAUCUCAUCAGAAGUUCAAUCGUAAGUAAUGCACUUUGAUGUCUUAUGUCUCACAUAAGUUUUAGGUGCAAAAAAUAAUUAUUUUGGAGCAGUUUGAUCCUCUAGCAAGAUCAUGGUACUCGCGUCUCCAACGUUUCUGCAGAUCUGCAAUCACAACAGGUCAGCUAUUUGUCUAAGGGAGAAUUCAUGCCUCCAAUAGUCCUAUCCAGUAGGAAAGCACAACAAAAAGAAAUCAGACCAUGAUUUUAUAAGCAUUUUCAGAAAUACAGGAAGAGAAAAAGUUGAUUUUUUUGUCUGACUAUAAAAAACCGAGUGUAGAUAGUCAUAAAAGGCACAUAAGUGAGACUUAACCAUAAGAUGAUGAUCCAUGUUACAUAUACCAUAAUUAUUUUUUAGUAUGAACACAUUUGCUAGAAGAGUCUUGGCUAAGAUGAUCUUGCAACAAACUUUGAUUAAGUAAAAUUAUACCCACUAUCCUAAUCAAAAGCAUUAAACCAACUAUAGCAAGCAAAAAGCCAAAUGAUGUAGUUUACCAGAUAGACAUCAUUCAUUGAUCAAAGACAUAAUUUGACAAGAGAAGUAAUCAAGUUUGCACUUUUGAAGUACAUAUAUAGAAUUUUUAUGCCUAUGCAAAAAGGGGAGAAGUUUUUGAAAGCUACUCUGUAGCAUAAACCAUGCUUAUGCUGUAAACCAUAUCAAUCAAAUGACAUAAUCUGAAGAAAUCAUACUUAUUUUAGACAGUAUGUGUGCAGUACUAACUAUGCUUGUUAGUUGUUACGUCCAUAUUAGCAACAAAUUAAUUGCUAGCUCCUUCUUGGAUACUGGGGAUUUGGUUCCAAAUCUCUACAAUGAAAAUUCAAAAUCUGAACUAAAUCCUAUAAACUUCCAAAGACCAAAGCAAUCCCAUUAUCCACAUCAUCUAAACAACACUUCAAUGCUUGCUUAGCUACAUUCUAGUUCAAAUUUGAACAGUGGGAAAAAAUGCAUUUAGGAUAUCAAAUAAAAGUGCAGGUGAGAAAUGAGAGAACUCAUGUAACACAAGAGAAUGCAUAUUAUAGCUUAAUUCAAUAGGAUGGGUUUUGAAAUGCUGUAGGAAUAGGCAAUUCUAAUAACAGAUUGUGGGCACUCACAUCGAUGGUUCUAAAACCCUAACUUUUGGAGGCGCUCUUCUAAAUUUUGUUAGCUGGAUAACUGCCUCUUCACUAGGUUUUGAGGGGUCACCAUCAUCAUCUUGAUAAACAAAAGGGGCACAAAGGAGCCUUGCUUUGGAUAGAAUAAACUCGAUAAAAUGCAUCUCAUUUGACCAUAAUAUAGCAUUUGAAAUGGUAACAAUCUUGAGCUUUGUGAAGAGACUAUUGGUGCAUAGUGCACUAAAAAAAUCUAGAUCAAUUUCAUCAUUCUGAGUUUGACAGUCCAUAAUCUGCCAAAAAUAACAAAGACCAUUUUAACUGGACCUGAGAAAGAGACAAAAGAGUAGCAAAAAAUAUCACCUUAGUUUUCAGCUGUUGGAGGUUGGGAGCACUCCUAAGUAAAGAAAAAAUAGAUAAAAUUCUAGACACAUUGCAAAGUUUGGAUGGAGUAUCAAACUCUUUAAUAUCCGGAAAGAACAUGACAUCUCUCGAGAACAUUAACCUCUGCUACCUGAACAAAAAAUAGCCAUAAGCUACAAGAAACAAAUAACUCAAUAAAAGAUAUCUUUAUUUAAAAUCAACAUCAUUUACUCCAAAUUUAUAUUAUAAAUGAAAAAAUAUGUAUCCCUAGCAAAUCAUUGGUACAGGCUAUAACAAAAUGCCACAGAACUCAACAAGCUUUGCAAAAUACAGCUAAAAGUUACCUUAAAGACUACCAUUUUAGGACUACAAAUUCGACUAAGAAUUUCUCGAUGACUAUUCUUAUCAGCAGUUUUGCUCAUUACAAUUUUAUAUUUUUAUAUAUGGUGUGGCAUAAAAUUUGCCGAUACAACUUUGGGCUUUUUUAUCUUAAGGAAUACUAUGUGUGUUCUCCAUUGGGGAAAAUCAAGUUUUCAAAUGGACCUAAUACCAGUAGUCAGCACAAUAAAAUAUAAUUGCAAGUUGAUUGAUUCCUGCACUAAUUUAUACAUCCGGUACCAUUUACUCCAUUUGUUAGGUUGCUUUUUAUGCUAAUUAUUCACUAAGGUAAAGCCCUCACCCUCAUACCAUAAUGGAAGGAGGUAAAACCUAGCUUAGUUACUUAUGGCCAGAUAACAACAAAGGUUAGUCCUUAGACUUUCAUUGUGCCUAGCAACAAUCUCAUAAGCCAAUUUGGAGUUGAAUAGAAUAGUUGAAGGUCUUAACCACCUAAGUAUUGUGAUGAAAACAUAAUACAUGUUCAUAAUGUGUGUAUGAUACAAUGUGAAUAAGAAUCGAGUGAAGCAUCUAAACCAUUACCAGUAUAUGGAAUUCGAGCUCCCUGACUUGCGCAAAACACGUGAGAAGAUUGUGAAAUCCCGAUCCACAUAGUAGUAGGUUUCAAUACUAAUAUUUGCUUCUUCCAGAGAUGGAAGAUCCCCGAUCUGUAACUCAUAAUCCUCAUCUGCAACAAAAGUUAAGUUGCGGAGAUUGGGCACCUGAAUGACCCAUUCAUCAAACUCGUCACCAAGAAUCCAAACAUCCCUAAGCUCCAGUGUCUCAAGAAACGGAGACAUGUGGAUCAUCGCCUCCAAAUCCCUCUCCCCAUGUUCAUGAAAGCCGACAGUGGUGAGACUUAACCAGGUUAAUUUUGGAAACCUGGUGAAAGAGGAGGGUGCCGCUGGGAGGUAGCAGUUGUGGAGUGUGAGGUGAGUAAGCUCACAGCAGGAGAAGAUGGUGGGGUAAAGCAUGUAGAUCUCCACACGGAGGUACUCCCUGAAGCGAAGGGUGAAGUGUGAGAUUAUAUAAUACUACUAGAAAGUAUUUUCACCAACGGAUCAUCACCGCCAGUUUAGCCUGAACCAGCAGUGAGCAUUUUCACUGCGGGUUCGGAUGUGCGUGAGCAUGGUGGACAUUGGAACAACUAUCGAUAUCAUCGCCAAUUCCAUUCACAAACCGCAGUGAAAAUAGAAUCGAUUUUCACCACCGGUAUUUAUGGGCUGGCGAUGAUAGGUGGGUUUUCACCGCCUUGUCAUGAAAAACCACCAUUUGUGUGAAAAAGUUUGUAACUUUAAUUUUUAUAUGAAAUUAGAAGAUAAAUUUUAUUAAAAUUAUAGAUCUCAACAAGAUCUAAAAUUUUGUAGUUCAUAACCUUUUCAUUUGAAAGUUUUUAGAUCUUCAAAUAUUCGAUAAAAAUUUGCAGGCCUACCAAAUGACCUUAGAUAGAAAAAAGAUCAACAUCAAAGUUAUAGUGCUUGACGAGAUCUAAAACUUCACCGCUGACAACAUUUUUUAUUGAGAUUGUUUUGGCAUCCAAAAAAUUAAUUCAAAUUUUGGAGAAAUUAAUAUAAAAGAAUAGCAUCCCUUUGCUAGUCACAAGUGACAGCGUAGUUGCUGGACCCAUGAGGUCACGAAUUCGAAUUCCUGAGGAUGCACUCUUCGCAUAUAAUGUGUUAAAAGUUGUGGCGGUUGGAUGUUGCAAUAGCUGAUCAUGUGGUAGUCGCUUGCGUAGGAAUUUUCCCCAUCAUUAUACAUUUUUUCACAGUUUUCUAAAAUGUUAUCACCGCCAGUUCAUGCCUCAAACCGCCGGUGAUUAUCAAUAUUAUGAUAGAGCAGAAUUUUUAUGCUAUUUCAUUUUAUGGAGACGAUCGGUGCUUCCAAAGCUGCAACGUUGCAAGACAAAAAAAAAACAUGGUAAUCAAGGUGCUUGCGCAAGUUGUGGUGAGGCAAAGAAAUGCCAAGUACCUCUAAAUUAUUCCAAAAGAGGUAUCAGCAGAGAUAUCAGCAGAACAGAAAUGUUUGCAUGGUAUGGUAACUGGAAAACAAUUAUCCCUACAAAAGGCUUCUUCUAUGAUUCUGAGUAUGAUCAAGGCUAUAUUAUAUUGGUGUUACUCCUGUAUGAAGAAAAAAGGGUCUAGAUGAAAAUAUGCAAGUUAUAGAAUAUCAAUGUAAAUAUCAAAUGGUGUUUCUUGGGUGUGCCUUUUAUGGCACCUGUGCCUUAGGCAAUUUAACGGCUUGUUGCGGCAGCACCUCCACCUCCAAGUACAUUGUAUGUAUUUCACUGUUGACAUUACAUUGCAGUGAUAAAAUAAUGAUUAUUGUAGAAUAAUUAAAAAUCACAGUUCUAAUACUAGUUGGAAGAUUGUUUGGGUGGGGUUUAAGACCUUGAGCUAGUGUUCAUGACACAUUAACUAAUAAACCAACAAGAAUCAUCAUCAUCAAAAUACAAAUGAUGUAAAGCUUUUCUAAGAAGCCAAAUCAGGAACAAAAGUUCUACCUUUAGCUUGUACGCACAAUAAAAUCCCGAAUGUUUAGUAGCCCUAGCCCCUAUUUGCUUUUAGUCAAGUUAGUAAAACCUCACUAUCACACAGAAUAGGUCAGCUAGGAAAACUUCCAGAAAAUCUAUUAAACAUAAUGCUGAUGAUGUGCAAAAUAAAUUCAAGUAGUGUUUGUAAUCCAAUUUACCGUGGAACUCAAGAAGCGUGACUUGAAGCAUGUGAGCAGCUUGACGAAAUCACGACCAACAGAGUAUUCAUCAACAUUGAUCGUUACCCUCUGGAGAGUAGAAAACUCCUCAAUCUGCCACCCAUAAUCACUAUCUGACCCAAUAGUUAACGUCUGAAGAUUCGGCGCCUGAUGAAUAACCCACUCAUCGAAGUCAUCACAGUCCAUCCAAACAUUCUCUAGCUCCAGCUUCUGGAGUGACGGCGCAGAACUUAUCAUCGCCUCCAAAUCCUUCUCCCCAUGCUCUGGGAGGCCAACCUGCCAGAGGCUGAGCGAGAUCAGGUUCAGGAACCCUGCAAAGCCCCGAGGGCGCGGAAGGGAGAUAGCAGCACCGGAGCUCAAGAUCCGUAAGCUCGCCACAUGAGAAGAUCGCCGGGUUAAUGGUGUGGAAACAAGGGCCCAAGUGGUUCGCGAAGAAGAGGGUGAGGGUGGACCGGACCCCUUUCCUUGCCGGCGAGAAGGCGGAGCCACUCUUCCAUGUGGCCGUACGCCUUCUGAGGACGAAACCUUGGAGGAACUCGCGGACGGGGCAUUCGUACCGCGCGAGGAUGCUGCCGAUGGCGGCUGGGGGCGAGUCGCCGGACCUCAGGCGGACAGGCCAGCUGAAGCAGAGGCCAGGGAUGGUCUCCCGGGAGAGUGCGGAUCGGAGGUGCGCACGGUGUCGCGGACAGGGAGGGAGUCGAGGCUUGGCGCCGCCUCCCCGCCUCGGGCCGUGGCCUCCGGCGAGGAGGCGAGGCAUCCAUUUCACCGAUCGGAAGUCGGAACGAUUUGAUCUGGCGGAAACUUCCGUGGGCCUUAAAAUGGGUGGAACGAAGCGCGUGCCGCACGGCCUGUUUUCCUUCCUUUUUCUUCUUUCCUUUUUCUAUUCGUUACAAUCUUACUCUUUUUCUUUUUUCUUUAGUGCCUUUAGUAAUUGAAAAUACUCAAUCAAAAGAUUUAGAAAUAAAUAUACAUUUCGCACAUAGUCUAACUGUUUUCGACACUUAGUUAAAAGAUUGCAAAGCACAUUUAAAAUUUACAUAUGAAUAAGCAGUAUAAUAGACUAUUUCCAUGCAAAAGAAUAUAACGGAAUAGUUCGAAUAGUAUAUUUGGAAUGUUUAAAUUUAUGAAACAGGUAAUAAAAAAUUAAACAGCAUGUUUAUCAUUUUUUAUAUUAGUUCAAAACAACAAUGUUGCAAAUAACUUUAAAACAAGGUUUUUAUGAGAAAAAUGUGUUUGAAGGUUUGGAGCAUUCUCAUUUACAUCCAGGACGUAUAUAUUCUGCUACAAUACCAAGAGAUCGUCACAGCACUCCAGCAACUAAAAUGUAGAAGCACAUGAAAUGGAACACAGAGAUUUAUUCAAGAGGCCCUCGUAGAUUUUAUUGACUUAAUACAAAUAUGUCUCCAUACGGUUGCUUACAAGGAACAAACUUGGGAUGAAACAACUUGCUUAGAUGGAAGUAGAAUAAAAGAUAUUUAUAUCUUUCAUAUUCUUAUAUCUCCACAUUAUUUUUGCGAAUUAUAUAUCUCCACAUUUGACCAUAUGCAACCAAACACAUCAUGCAAAUCUUUCUUAUUAACUUUUCAAAUGUAUGGAGAGGUUUUCACGAAGGUAUUUCAUGGGAAAACCUCGAUGAUCGAUUGAAAACCCAAUGUCGGCGUAAUUUUAUAAUCACUGAAUCCAGCUUCUAAGAAAAUCCUUUUCCAUUCGUGCUCCUCUCGCUCAACCCCAACAUGUCGCAUCAUAAACAUAUCCCACAACACCUGUGCCUCUUUGGCAAUUUUGUCCGGUGUCUCAUACCCAACCACCAUAUUCAUGAUUAUCACUUUUCCUCCAGCGUCUCUCGCAGAAAUUGCUUUCUUGCACUGCCGAAGUAUCUUAACACUGCUAUUGUCGUCCCAACAAUGCAAAACAAACUGAAACACAUGUAGAGUUGUAGACAUUAUCGACAACAAUACUCACAUAACAGGGGCAAUGAGUAAGUAGUACUCCUUCCGUUUCAAAUUGCAAGUCAUUCCAACUUUCUUGAAAAGUCAAAACAUCUCAAGUUUGAUCAAACUUAUACAAUAAAGUACUAAUAUUUAUGAUACCAUAUAAGUACCGUUAGAUUUUCAUUAAAUACAUUUUCAUAGUAAUCUAUUCAGUACCAUAAAUCUUUAUAAUCUUCUUUAUGAUUUUGAUCAAACAUAGUUUGACUUUCCAAAAAAGUUGGAAGGACCUACAAUUCGAAACGAAGGGAGUAGAUGCUUGCGUGUUGGGUCUUCAGAGAAUCAGAGUAUAUGCAAUAAUAGUAGUAACAGAACAGAACAGGGAGGUAGCGCAAAGAGGAGGAAGAGGAAGAGGAGUACCUUAAGUAAGACACCAUCAGCAGGAGGGACAGACUCAAACAUGUCACCAGAGAUGAACUGCACCGUGCCAUCAGCAGGUGCCUCGCUGACCACUUGUUCAAGGUCCAGCACGCUGCACUGGAUGUGCGGAAAGGCCCUAGCGAUGGCCACCGCGGCUGCGCCGUGCCCACCGCCGACGUCGACCAGUGAGCUGAGCCCACUGAAGAUACUUGCAAGACCGGGAUCUUUUAGAAUGGUAUCCAUGGCGAAAUUGCUAUCUGCGGCGCAUGCUUCGUUCAAGACUUUGUUGUACGCGACAUCGUUCUUGGUCAUCAUCCAUGGGGUCAUGCCAUGCACCACCUCGAAGAGCGACGCGGUGCCGUCAUCUUUGAGCCACUCUUCAAGGUUGAAGUAGGUGGAGACCGUCGUGGUGGGGCGCACCAGGAGGCGCACCAUCGGGGAAAUGUCGCAUGAGGUAGUCGAGGCCCCGCCGUCGGCGAGAAGGCGGGACGCCGGAGUGAGCAUGUAGAUGGUCUCGCUCUCGUAGUCGACGGGCGACGCGGGCUGAUCCGCGGCGAAGAUGCCGGAGACGGUGAGCACGCGCAUGAGCCGCCGGAGAUACGGGAGCUUGGACGGGUCGACGCCGGUCUCGGUGACGAGGUCCGAGAGUGUCGCCGCCCCGCCACGGCGGUGGAUGGCGCUAGGGAUGCCGAGCUGAAUCGCGCACCAGAACGCCAUGGACUUGACGUGGCAGAGGCCGAGGUGGUGGAUCUCCACGUACCCGCGGAGCAUGUCCUGUGUGCUGAGCUCCUCCUGGACACGCGACAUGGUAUGAUGUUUUUGCUCUAAAUGGAUGGCUUCGUGGCUGCCGCGAUGCUAAUUUAUAUAGGGGGCCUUUGGAUCGAGGCAUAUAGAGAAGCAUAUGCUCUGGCGCGUUGGUAACCUGAAUGACCUUCUGAUCUGUAGGUUAUCUAGAAAAGUAACAAUUCGUUGUUUUUCUACGGUAAAAAGACAAUUCAUUAUUUUUCAUUGAUGACCAAAUUAUUUGUCGGUUCUAAAAUACUGGUAGAAAAUCAAACGAUCCAUUUUAUUAUCAUGAACAAUUCACUUUAUCUCCUUAACCCUCUCUAAAUAAAAAAUUCAAUUCCCUCGAACCAUUUAAAUCUGUUCAAUAAACACGUAAUGUAUUUGUUUUUUUACUUUCAAUUUUAGGUUCGACAAUUUGGGAGAUAUCUUGCAACAUAUAUACCCUAUUUUACAGAGGUAUAGGGGAUUAUUUUCAUAGUUUGGGAGCAUUUGUUAAUCCCACCAGAUAUCAAAACACAGAAAAAUUCCUCGCAGAAAAACACAGAAAAAUAAUUAUGGAAAUUUCUUAAAGUAUUUUAGUUUAUGAUAUCAUCUGUCUUUGAUGCAAGCAACAGCGACCUUCUACCACGCAGAAAAUACAUAAAUGAGGUUAGAAAGAGACUCGAACAAGAACCACUAGCAGGGUAGUGGAACUAUUAGGCUCUAACAAAUUAGUUAGGCUUUAUCUUUUGCUCGAAGGAGCCCUCAGAAUAUUCGAUUGUGGAACACGAGAUGCAUUAUUCAAUGCAAAAUUGCUACAGAAACAUGCAAAGAGACGUUGAUUUGCUGCAAGACAUCAUUGACCGCUCUCUAUACUGGAAGACACUCACAUUUUGUACAAAUUUACUAGAAGAUACCGUCUCGACUAAAAUACUAGUUGUUUUUUCUACGUUAAAAAGAUAAUUCAUUAUUUUUCAUUGACGGACAAAUUAUUUGUCGGUUCUAAAAUACUGGUAGAAAAUCAAACGAUCCAUUUUAUUAUCAUGAACAAUUCACUUUACAUGCUUAACCCUCUCUAAAUAAAAAUUUCAAUUCCCUCGAACCAUUUAAAUCUGUUUGAUAAACACGUAAUGUAUUUGUUUUUUUUUACUUUCAAUUUUAGGUUCGACAUUUUGGGAGAUAUUUGGCAACAUAUAUACCCUAUUUUACAGAGGUAUAGGGGAUUAUUGUUUCAUGAUUAUUUUCAUAGUUUGGGAGCAUUUGAUAAUCCCACCAGAUAUCAAAACACAGAAAAAUUCCUCGCAGAAAAACACAGAAAAAUAAUUAUGGAAAUUUCUUAAAGUAUUUUAGUUUAUGAUGUCAUCUGUCUUUGAUGCAAGCAACAGCGACCUCUACCACACAGAGAAUACAUAAAUGAGGUUAGAAAGAGACUCGAACAAGAACCACUAGCAGGGUAGUGGAAUUAUUAGGCUCUAACAAAUUAGUUUGGCGUUUUGCUCGAAGGAGCCCUCAGAAUAUUCGAUUGUGGAACACGUGAUGCAUUAUUCAAGGCAAAAUUUGCUACAGAACAUGUACACGACAUGCAAAGUGAUGUUGAUUUGCUGCAAGACACCGUUGACCGCUCUCUAUGCUGAAAAACACUCACAUUUUGUGCAAAUUUGCUGGAAGACACUGCCUCGACUAAAAUACUAGUUUUAGAUAGAAGAAGAGAGAGAAAUGUGAAGAAAUGUUAUUUUUGCUCCUAGCCCCACAUGCCAGUUCUUUCUUCUUUCCUUCCUCCCCCUUCCCUUCCCUUGCUCCAACACGCGAUGCCUCGAUCGACGGAGCCGCAUGUGCCCCUCCCAUCCUUCACGCUCCAAGCGCACUACCAGCCGACCUGCUGAAUCGCCACCAUCCGUCUCGCCUGAGCCGCCGACGGGCAGCCAUUCCUAGACUCGCGCGUGGAGCUCAUGGGGAUUUCCUCUCAAAACAAAAUGGCUCACUCGAAUCUCAACAGGUCAAUACCCGUGUCGCUGCCGUUCGCCGAUCUGAUUCGCCGGCGUGGGUAGGUCUCCAACUGAUUCCUCACAGCCACAACACCCCUCAAGCUCACGCAUCCAUUCCUCCGCUUACCUGCCACCCUCUCCCCUUGUGAAGGCUCCUCGCUGACCGCCUCCACCCGCCUCUUGCCGCUGCCUGUGGAGCUCUACUGCGCCGCCACCUCUCCCCACCGUGCUGCUAGUGGUGGUGAGUUGAUGCCUGAUGGCUUGGACCUGGACGAGCGGCUGGGUCGGCAUGAGCGCUGCACAGCUCGAUGGCAGCCAUUGCUGCCAUCGUAGAAGCUUGCUGCAGCACUGGUAGAUCUACAAAACUAUCGGUGAGGAAGAAGGGAGAAUAAAGAAGAGGGGAGGGAGGAGGAAGAAAGAAAUGACAAGUGGGGUUAAGGUCAAAAAUGACAUUUCAGCUCCUUUCUCUCUCCUUUUAAAUCUAAAAAUAUUAUUUUAGUCGAAGCAGUGUGUUCCAACAAAUAUACACAACUAGAGUGUUUUCUAGCAUGUCACGUUUUGAAGGGUGUCUCUCAGCAAAUGGACAUCACUUUCCAUGUCUUGUAGCAAUUGAUUGGUUGCCACGUGCUGCACAGGGUUGAUAGAUAAUAACAAGAUUUAUCAUACCCUGUUAGACUUGCAGCAUGCUAAACUCUGACGAAUGGUACACUGGUACCUUUCUUUUGUGCAUGUAACGGUCAAAUUUAGUAUAAUUUAAGUAUGUCUCUAAUACAACAUCAUCCCAAAGUCCCAAGCCAGUUUCUAGAUCUCACUCAAGUAUAUGAACCAUUUCCGAACUUUUAAUGAAUUUCGAAAGGAUUUCAUAUAUACUUCAGAAGCAUAAAAUAAUUCUUACAUGAAAUCAGUGGCCAGUUAAAAAGAUAUGAAAAUUACAUGGGUUGCUGGAAAUCCCCAAAAUUAUGAAUAGUAAAAUGAUUGAGCAAUGUGCUAAGAUGGUGAGGAAGUAGAUAUCAUGGUACUCUAUUGAAAAAACUAAAUAGUAGCACCAAUUUCCAAAUUGUAGAACAAAAUCAUAGUCCCUCCAUUCCAAAUUGUAGGUCGUUUUAGUUUUUCCAAAUGCAUAAUUUUUGCUAUGCACUUAGAUGUAGUGUAUGUCUAGAUGCAUAAUAAUAUCUAUAAAUCUAAAAAAGCCAAAACGACCUACAAUUUGAAAAAAAAGGGAGUAUUACCUCAAUCCAAAGUCUUACAUUAGUUCAGGUAAUUAAACAUGCGAAAACAAUUGUUCAUUCUAACAAUCUGGUAGAAGAAGUUCAAAAACUUUCCUAAGGAAAAUGCGACAAGAGAUAAUUCAUAAGCUACUUGUCUUAAAAAAAAAUUCCAUGCGCUUGAAGAAGACCUUAGCUUCUGGAGAAGUUCUUCUAUAUUUUGUUAUCUCCACAAUGAGUUCUUCAUUAGACCUUGAAAGGUCCUCACGUACAUGAACAUUAUUUUUUUUGAAACGAACCAGGCAGGAGAGCUACCGAUUAUAUUAAAAAGAAGAUGAAGUCCAGAUUGGAUGAAACAACAAAUGAAAAAAACAACACAAACACCGCCAUGUUAGAUUGGGUCAUCAAUACAUGCCGCACCAUGCCAGCACACACAAAACAACUCAACAACACAUCACUCGCUUGGAUUGGGACAUCAACGCGGCCACACCACUCCACUCAACAAAUGACGGUAGAACCCGAAGCCUUACCGCGGCACCCACCAACAUUCUCAUGCUCAAGUAGUCACCGAAACCUCUAGGUGUUGCCCC